UACGUAGGGUGCAAGCGUUGUCCGGAAUUAUUGGGCGUCAAGAGCUCGUAGGCGGUUUGUCGCGUCUGCUGUGAAAACCCGAGGCUCAACCUCGGGCCUGCAGUGGGUACGGGCAGACUAGAGUGCGGUAGGGGAGAUUGGAAUUCCUGGUGUAGCGGUGGAAUGCGCAGAUAUCAGGAGGAACACCAAAUGGCGAAGGCAGAUCUCUGGGCCGUAACUGACGCUGAGGAGCGAAAGCAUGGGGAGCGAACAGG
rnacentral:rRNA from 1 species